UCCGGUUUGGCACCGGCAGUCUCCAAUGAGUCCCCGGCAUUACCCGCUGGCAACAUUGGACAGGGGUUGCGCUCGUUGCGCCACUUAAGGCAACACCUCACGGCACGAGCUGACGACAGCCAUGCAGCACCUGUGCAGGCUCCCGAAGGAGCGCCGUGUUUCCACGGCUUUACCCUGCAUGUCAAGCCCUGGUAAGGUGGGGAUGACGUCUCCUCAUGCGUU
rnacentral:misc_RNA from 1 species